rnacentral:rRNA from 1 species
CCCUUAGACGUUCUGGGCCGCACGCGCGCUACACUGACCAGUGCAACAAGCAUCCGUCCUUGGCCGACAGGCCCGGGCAAUCUUUGAACGCUGGUCGUGAUGGGGAUAGACUUUUGCAAUUUUUGGUCUUCAACGAGGAAUUCCUAGUAAACGCAAGUCAUCAACUUGCAUUGGUUACGUCCCUGCCCUUUGUACACACCGCCCGUCGCACCUACCGAUUGAAUGGUCCGGUGAAGCCUCCGGAUUGGCGCGCACCUCGGUGCCGCCGAGAAGUUGGCUAAACCUUACCAUUUAGAGGAAGGUGAAGUCGUANCA